rnacentral:rRNA from 1 species
AACGAACGCUGGCGGCAUGCCUAACACAUGCAAGUCGAACGAGACCUUCGGGUCUAGUGGCGCACGGGUGCGUAACGCGUGGGAACCUGCCCUUAGGUUCGGAAUAACUCCCCGACAGGGGUGCUAAUACCGGAUAAUGUCUUCGGACCAAAGAUUUAUCGCCUUUGGAUGGGCCCGCGUUGGAUUAGCUAGUUGAUAGGGUAAAAGCCUACCAAGGCGACGAUCCAUAGCUGGUCUGAGAGGAUGAUCAGCCACACUGGGACUGAGACACGGCCCAGACUCCUACGGGAGGCAGCAGUGGGGAAUAUUGGACAAUGGGCGAAAGCCUGAUCCAGCAAUGCCGCGUGAGUGAUGAAGGCCUUAGGGUUGUAAAGCUCUUUUACCCGGGAUGAUAAUGACAGUACCGGGAGAAUAAGCUCCGGCUAACUCCGUG